rnacentral:rRNA from 1 species
AUUGAACGCUGGCGGCAGGCCUAACACAUGCAAGUCGAACGAGUGGCGGACGGGUGAGUAAUGUCUGGGAAACUGCCUGAUGGAGGGGGAUAACUACUGGAAACGGUAGCUAAUACCGCAUACCAUCGGAUGUGCCCAGAUGGGAUUAGCUAGUAGUUGGGGUAAAGGCUCACCUAGGCGACGAUCCCUAGCUGGUCUGAGAGGGUGACCAGCGACUCUGGAACUGAGCCCCGUUCCGGACUCCUACGGGAGGCAGCAGUGGGGAAUAUUGCACAGUGGGCGACAGCCUGAUGCAGCCAUGCCGCGUGUAUGAAGAAGGCGUUCGGGUUGUAAAGUACUUUCAGCGGGGAGGCGUGACCCGCAGAAGAAGCGCCGGCUAACUCCGUGCCAGCCGCCGCGGUAAUAC